rnacentral:rRNA from 1 species
AACGAACGCUGGCGGCAUGCCUAACACAUGCAAGUCGAACGAUACCUUCGGGUCUAGUGGCGCACGGGUGCGUAACGCGUGGGAACCUGCCCUUAGGUUCGGAAUAACUCCCCGAAAGGGGUGCUAAUACCGGAUAAUGUCUUCGGACCAAAGAUUUAUCGCCUUUGGAUGGGCCCGCGUUGGAUUAGCUAGUUGGUAGGGUAAAAGCCUACCAAGGCGACGAUCCAUAGCUGGUCUGAGAGGAUGAUCAGCCACACUGGGACUGAGACACGGCCCAGACUCCUACGGGAGGCAGCAGUGGGGAAUAUUGGACAAUGGGCGAAAGCCUGAUCCAGCCAUGCCGCGUGAGUGAUGAAGGCCUUAGGGUUGUAAAGCUCUUUUAACCGGGAUGAUAAUGACAGUACCGGGAGAAUAAGCGCCGGCUAACUACGUG